GGUCUCAUUACAAAUCUAUAGUUCAUAGUUACUAAAACAAGUCCCAAUACCACAAAUACAAUAAAAAUGACACGCUACACUAGGUUGCUCCAGGAGCAUCCUAAAGUCCUCCCUGCCCCACCUGUGGAUCCACAUGAGUGAUAGUUGCAUCUAAAAAGAUGUAAAAAGGAAAAGGUAAGCAUUCCACAUUGCUCAGUAGGGUGCCUAACACCCAAGGGAUAAUGGGGAUUACUAAGUUUCCAAAUAAUACAAAAGAAGCAUUUCAACAACAUUGAUCAAGCCACAUAAAUUAAUUUAUAUAAUUAUACACAAUUCCACAAUAUUCAACAAUUAAAUGAAAUGCAUGUGAAUGUGUGACACACUUUUAACAACCCAAAACAAUUAUUUAUCAACCAAAAAGAAAUUCCCGAAAUUACAAAGAUUUCAAAAAAAUCCAAAUCAUCCAAAAAAAUUCUUACAACACCAAUAUUACCUACUUAACUCAUAAUGACAAGAUUUACAAUUUUUUUCCAAGAGAAAAAACAUAUUUAAUUAAAGUUUUAGGGUUAGGUUCCCCUACCACAGAUCUAAGAAUCCGACCGUUAAAAUCACGAUCGGCCAUCAUAGAAUUGUUCCUCUUGUUGAGUAGAGCACUUCCUCAAAAUUUGAGCCAAAACGAACAUCGUUCAACUGUCCAAAUGGCCGACCAAAGUUCCGGCGGGAUGGGUUUCUCCACAAUUCACCGAGGCUCUCUCUCUCUCUCUCUCUCUCUCUCUCUCUCUCUCU
rnacentral:lncRNA from 1 species